rnacentral:rRNA from 1 species
AGUGGCGGACGGGUGAGUAACGCGUGAGAAUCUGGCUUCAGGAGGGGGACAACAGUUGGAAACGACUGCUAAUACCCCAUAUGUCUACGGAUGAAACGGUGAAUUCCGCCUGAAGAUGAGCUCGCGUCGGAUUAGCUAGUUGGUGAGGUAAAGGCUCACCAAGGCGACGAUCCGUAGCUGGUCUGAGAGGAUGAUCAGCCACACUGGGACUGAGACACGGCCCAGACUCCUACGGGAGGCAGCAGUGGGGAAUUUUCCGCAAUGGGCGAAAGCCUGACGGAGCAAGACCGCGUGCGGGAGGACGGCCUGUGGGUUGUAAACCGCUUUUGACAGGGAAGAAGCUCUGACGGUACCUGUCGAAUCAGCAUCGGCUAACUCCGUGCCAGCAGCCGCGGUAAUACGGAGGAUGCAAGCGUUAUCCGGAAUUAUUGGGCGUAAAGCGUCCGUAGGUGGUUGAGUAAGCCUGCUGUUAAAGCGUGGAGCUUAACUCCAUAUCGGCAGUGGAAACUACUUGACUUGAGUGCGGUAGGGGUCAGGGGAAUUCCCAGUGUAGCGGUGAAAUGCGUAGAUAUUGGGAAGAACACCGGUGGCGAAAGCGCCUGACUGGGCCUGCACUGACACUGAGGGACGAAAGCUAGGGGAGCGAAAGGGAUUAGAUACCCCUGUAGUCUUAGCUGUAAACGAUGGGCACUAGGCGUU